rnacentral:lncRNA from 1 species
UGGGCUGGCUGGUUGGAUGAGGGGGUGAGGUGGAGACAGCAGCUUCCAGCUCUAGGUGGGUGAUCACGCUGGAGCUGAAACAGGGUGCAAGUCCCACAGAGCUGACUCAGUCCUGCUCCACUGUCUUUAUACAGUCAUUUCCAUACAUGUUACAAGCAUCAGUAUAAGCCAUAGAGAAAAUUGUCUCUGAAACAGUUUGCCAAACAUUUCACAUUACCUCAUUGGCUCCUAGGUAUGCCUUUAUAAAAACACAUGGUCUUUUCCAACCGAGGAAGCCAAUGAGAACAAGCGCCCCUUGUUGCAGUCAAUACACACUUUAAAAACCUUCAGUGAGGAAGAAAGCAGGCUUCUUCAGGGAGGCAGUUCCCAAUAUCUUUAAUCUGUGACACUGGGCCUAGCUCUGUGAGCACACAACGGACCCAGAGUGGCUCUCACAAGUGUUUGCUGAAUGUGCCUCACAUUUCUCUUUCUAAGCGCUGCAAGAAGGCUGCUUCAAAUCUGCCAUUUGGAAAGCAUCAGU